GAAACCAACAAAUGAAGAUCAUUGUGAUAUAAUGCUAUAUACUUUUACAAAGAGUUUAUAUAAUAUGUACAUAUAUAUGUAUAUGAAAAGUUUAUAGUGAGAAACCAAUUUGUCCCAACAAUUGUGAUAACCAAAGAAAUAGCGAUUACUUCCCCAUCAGUUUGAAAGUUCAAAAGGAUGGCAUUAUCUUAGUUUGAAUCAAGAAUAAUGUGGGCCUGAAGACUAGUUUAGCUCGUGUUGUCACCAGAAUCUCGAAGGCUUUCACCAAUGAUGUGAUCAAAGAGUUGAGCGAGAGCGGCAAUGCGUUGUCCGAACUGGAAAUGAGUAAGAUAUUUCCCAAUGAUGGUUCCAAGGUUGUAUAACCUUGCAGGGAUGUGUCAUCGUGGUAGGCAACGAUCAUCUUUCGAAACAGACCAAUGAGAACGCCGCACUACUGUUUCAGUGUUUGGUUGGCUAUUUUAUUAUUUCACAUCAUAAGCGUGUGUCCAGGUGACACUAAACCUUUUCAUUUUGCUGGUGUGCCGUCAAAUAACAUACAAUUGGGUGUGCGGCGUCUAAAGGAAAUCAUUAAUAUCUCCAACAAACCAAGAAUCUCUAACAUUAUUCAUUACUGAUGGUGCAGCGCGGGACGCCAAAAAGAUGUAUUAACGAGUCGUUUAAUAUCUGCAAUAUAUCAAGCUCUUAACCAUCGUUAGAAUUCUAAACCUGGAUCCAAUCCAAGUUCCUUAAAAGUUCUUCUUUGCAUUUCUACGGGUAAAACAGCAUUCGAAAUAGGUGGAAUGAUCCUCAGUUAAAGGAAUUGGUAUAAGUGAAAGUGAGAAUAUUUUGGAAAAAGUUUAACUUUUCAAAACUUCUGGAACGCCGAGACUGCCCUAUGAAUUGACACUAA